AUCUACAGCCAUGCCACCCUGAACGUGCCUGAUCCUGUCUGAUCUUGGAAGCUCAGCAGGGUUGGGCCUGGUUAGUACUUGGAUGGGAGACCACCUAGGAAGACCAGGUGCUGUAGGCG
rnacentral:rRNA from 1 species